UACGUAGGGUGCUAGCGUUGUCCGGAAUUAUUGGGCGUAAAGAGCUUGUAGGCGGUUUGUCGCGUCUGCUGUGAAAUUUCGGGGCUCAACCCCGAACUUGCAGUGGGUACGGGCAGACUAGAGUGUGGUAGGGGAGACUGGAAUUCCUGGUGUAGCGGUGAAAUGCGCAGAUAUCAGGAGGAACACCGAUGGCGAAGGCAGGUCUCUGGGCCAUAACUGACGCUGAGAAGCGAAAGCAUGGGGAGCGAACAGG
rnacentral:rRNA from 1 species